UGUAUUACAGAAAAACAAAGAAAUUAAACUUACCUUGAUGCUACUUGCGUGUCCCACGAGGAGAAUCGAUCUUCAGGAAAUUUUUCACACGCUGGCAAUAUAUUAUAGCGUUUCAUAUAUAAAAUUAUCAUAUCCUAAAAGUCAUACUUGAAGCCAAACGACGCAAUGAUUUAUGCUUGCACAAAUUCAUGCUCCGCGCGCGCAUACACAACAUAUGAUUCUCCCGAUUCCAGAAUCCUCUACUAAAUCUAUCUGCUUGGUUUGUUCUUAAUUAUGCAUCGUGAAGCGGGAAUAAAAUCCUCGUCAAAUCCUCACAAGUAGGUAAAACAAAUGAUAAUCUCCAUUAAUUCGCAAUUUCUAAUAUAUCGCUUAAAUAAAAGAACGCCAAGUAUGGCGGCUUCGGUUUAUUCAAUUAUUAGAAGUUGUAAAUUAGACUCUCACAUGUUUAUAUCGUCUUGUCAAAUCUUUCGAUCUCAUUAAAAAAGCAUCAUUCCCGUCCGUCAAGUUGCUCGCGCGUUUUUUUUUUUUUAAAUAGUUUUUACUUAUUUACAUAUAUACCUGAUAUAUGUUACAACGAAUUUCUUAAAAUGUCAAAAGCGUUCUCGUGUGUAAUCGGAAUCGAAAGCUCAUAAAGAUAUACUUUUUUACGCCUCAAAGUUCGUCACGCAAUUGCCGAUAUAAAAUUCAUCCUUGAAGAAAAAUGAUAGACGUGUGCGUAUUUAAAAAACAAGAAUUACAACAGCCUUGAUCAUUGUUAUAUGCUGUAUUUCCAGAAUAACGUCGUACGUUGAUUUUAUAUUAUAUUCUAGUUUUAUCUCGUUUCCGUUUUAUUAUACAAAUAGUAUUGCUAAAAACAUGUUAACAGUAUGAACAGUAUGAACUUUCGAUUUGGUUUUAUUGAUAGACAGGAUGUUCCGCUCCCGAAUCAUUCUGUACACAUGGACUCCUCUACGUGAAGACUUAUAUAGCGACGAUAGUUGUUAGUGUUUCUAAUAUAAUAUAGCAUGUCAACGAUUUUGUUUUUCUUAUUAUACGACGCCACAGCUCAUUUAAUAUAACUAUAUGAUACACACGUAUAAAAAUAACGUUUCUAUUGUUAAAAUAUAUUUCAACAUAUAUAUACUCAGAAGUAACUAAUUCAAUAGGGCCACUGUGUUCGUCCUCUAAACUUGGACACGAGUUUCGUACAUAAACCACAUCAAUCGUAUCUCGUUAUAUCAAAAAACAUAAUAUAGAUUAGAUGUAUAUAUACAUAUAUGUUAUGCUGUAUGCUGCAUAUCCACGUGCACGCGCGCUCGUACGCACGGAGACGACUGUCACACAAGACGUGUGUGUGUGAAAAAAUAUACGACACCUAUCCCGUUCAUAUCUUGUAUAAAAGUCUUGCAGAAAAAAAAAUGAAUAAAACACUUAUAACUCGUCCCCAGGCAAACAACUAGAACUUGUAAUUGUAUGACAAAGAAAAAAUAAAGUUUGUUUUUCUUAUACUUACGUAAUACUCUUAUGGAACUCUCUAAUAUAAUUUAUUGACGGGCAAUGUGCACGCGCGCACGUAUGAUUGCAUUAAAGUGCUUGUAGUCCUUCCGUAAAGAUGUGAAAGAUAAAAGCGAAGAGAAGUGUGUUGUUUCCUUAUUUUACGUCAACUGUCGUAAUAUAACUAUAUUUUGUGCACGAAUCGCUUGAGUGGCAAAACCUCGAGAAAAUAUCUUGAGUGAACAUUUAUAUUACUUUUCGAAGAUCAACGUGGUUGGUGCAUUAUCUACACGUACAUGUGCAUCAUCCUCUUAUUACGAACGAAUAAAUGUCACUCCUUCCGGCUCGUCGCAGUAUGUGAUACGGGAAUAUAUACCUGCACUGUCUCUCCGGACACGCGCUAGGCUGACGAUUUUUCGGAGAAGAAACGAAAAAACGGUGUUCAUAUCAUGCGGUGUUCGCGCGUGAGCUUUAAUCGAACGAGAAUGAAAAUAAAGUUUUAUUAGAUAGGCACAUAUAUAUAUCUGUAUAUAUUACAAUGUAUCUUUAUUACCUAAAAUAUGCAUUUUGAAAGUAUUUUUUCGAAAGACUUAGAAGGCAGGCAAGGGGCAAAACGACAUUCGGGAGCCAACGAUUGGAAGGGCGCAAACAAAAACAAAAUGUCCUGUGUUUAAGAACAUCGACAAUCUACUGAGCACAUUUCGAUGAUUCGGCUAAACCCUUGUCCAGACGUAGUCGAUUGAGUCGAUGAAUAGAUUUUCAAUACAAAAAUGAGCAGGUUGUCAAUUGCCGCCGGUCACAAACGACAAAACCUAACAAAUCUUUGAACAACAAUGACAAUUAUCUCCAAAAUAAAUUUCAAUAGCCUGUACAAUAAUUCGUAGAUGAAUUUACACAAAGAUAUACUGGCGGUAUUAAUCGCGAUAACAACACAUGCGCGACGAAACAAAAUGACUUAUAAACCAUUUUUUGGCCAAAUCAUUGCUGUACUCGCACACAUACUCGUAUUAUAGCUCUAUCUAUAGUACACAAAAAACAAUAACACUAAAACUUAUUUAUAUAAUUCCAGUAAUUCUAUUUUAAUCGAUAUAAUUAUUUGUAUAUAUAUAUAUAGAGUAAAUUAUUGUAUUUAAACGCACGCUUACGCCUCUAGCUGCAUUUUCUUAUUUUGUGUUUCUUUUUCUUUAAUAAUAUAUAAUAUAAUAAUAUACUAUGUCGCAUAUAAAAAACAAUUAGUAUAGAAUUACAAGAUCGUUCCUUAGUUAAGUUUACAGAUUUUUGUUUUUUUUUUCGCAACUAUUUAUAUAAACGUAAGACGUCGCGUCCAUCUCUAAAAUAAACAUGCUCUCUUCCGCCGCUCCCAGAAGAAUUAGAAAAAUUAAGAGAUAUCGUACCAAUUUGUCUCAACAAACAUAAAGAGGAGACAAUAGAUUUUCAACGUUAAGGCUUGGCUAUUCGUUGCCGCGUAGCUUCAUAUUUUAGUUUUUUCUUACAAAAAGUUAAUAUUAUCGUGAUCUUCAGAAGUUUAUAGUGAAAAUACAAUACAAAAAUCGAGAAAUUUAAGAAAUGACAACGGAUUUUUAAUUGCCAACUGUAUGAGAAACAACAACACCUCUCUAUUUCAAGAAUUACUUUAACUUCUGCGUGACAAAUAGAAUAGAUUAUCAAAGUGUGUUGCAUAUUUUACGUUUUAGGAUUACAAAAAUAUUUAUAUUUUUAAGAAAAAACUAAAAUAUAAAGUAUUAUGUUGCAAAAAUCAAUUAUCAUGUCAUUUUUCAUUUCUGACUACGUCAUAAAUGAAACGGUUGCUACGAGUAGCAGGACCUUUAAGUGUAUAUAAUUUAAUUUGUUAAUUUAUGUGAAUGUGGAAGAUAAAUCCGACUCAUGUGAUGAAUUUUUCCGAAGCGAACGAAAUAUAAAUGUGCCACAACACAUUGCUUAUUAGUUCCUCCACAAUACUCGCAACAAAAUUUUUUAUAUUAUGUUUGAUCGAUUUUUUUAUAGCUGAAUUACAUUUAUUGUUAGAUACAACUCGCAAUUGAUUUAAAUGCACUUGAUUAAUGCGUCAUUCUUGUGCGUCGUUAAGUAUACAAGUUUCUUCUUUUCGUACAAUCUCCUCUUGUACGAUAAAAAUUUUUACAAAACAUUACAUAGCAAAAACACAAAUAUGAUUUUAUAUAUUUUAUUUAUCAUUAAUAACAUAAUCUCACAUUGUCGUGUAGAAUUGCACAAUACUUGCUUAUGUUAACGAUGCACAAGAGUUAUCGCAAUUAUAUAAAUACAUAAUAUAUUCACGGCACUGUUAUAACUGCCGUUUGUACGUCCUGAUAACGCAAAAAAAUGUCCGAGUUGAACGUUCGCAAAAAAUGAAGAUAAGUCGACGUCGGAUAUAAAAACCAAAAAAGGGUAAAAAGAGAAGAAAAAAAU